UUUAACUGAUUUUUUUAGAAAACUAAACGAAGAAGAGUGAAGAGUGCAAACCUGUUCUUGAAUGGUAUGUGCUAAUGGAUGUAUCUUCGACGAAAAUAUUCGGCGAACUCAGUACAAUUUUGAACGUGAAUUACGCAGCGCAAAAAUAAUAAUGCUGAGUUUCGUUGCCAUCGUUGCCUCAACGUUUUUUGUUGUGGCAUCUAGUGCAUUUCUUUCUGAUGGUGUCAGAGAAAUCAACUUCACGAAAAUCCACGAUGAAAGCGAUGAAUAUGAUUUUGAAUACGAACUAGAAUGUGGCAACACAUUUCGUGGGAGAACUUUUAUUGUGAAUGUUCCGGACGAACACAUUUAUGUAAUGUUUGGUGCUGACGAUAUUUUGUAUUGGGUGCAAUUCACAGAGGAUGAGUACAAAAACAAAACAUAUCUUACUAAAACUGUCCGAUUAAUUGAACGAAGCGAAAACAAAUUAAAAUUCAAAGACGAUUUUAUUGACUACGAUCUGACGAUUUUGAAAGGUUUCUUGUUUGUUGCGCCUUACCAAACGAGUUGGGAUUUGGAGCAAAUAUGCUUUACAAAAACUGACAGUAAAAAUCAAACGUUCAAUUAUAUUAUUUCAGCAACAAACAACUCAAGAAGAUAUAAUGGCACAACGUUUUACGAAUCGAAUGACCCAUAUGUGCAGCGAAUUCAUUUGGAUGAUGGUACCCAACGCAAUGACACGUAUGAAAUGAAUUUUACAGACGACGAGAUCAAUUCAAAUGACACAUUUUGUAAAUGAAUUUCGAAAAUCAUAUCUGAGUCGGGCGUAUUGGGAGCAUUUCCAGUGAGCAAUAUCAAUCCAAACCUUCUGAAGUCUUUGGCUGGUUGAGCAUGAAUCCCACUAGUCAUUACACAUCAUUCAAAAUGCUUUUAUUUAUACAGGCAGAGGAAGUAUCAAUUCCCAAAUAAAUAAUCCAUUCAAGUAACUUAAAAAUGGAUUGGAACAAUUACAUUCAUCACCCCAAAUGUUUUUUUUUUUUUGAAAUAAUCAAAUGAAUUAAUCAAAACCAACGAAUUUGUUGACCACAAUUCUCAAGCCCGAACGAUGGUCCAAGUGAAAAUACACAAAAUAUUAUUUUUCAUUAUUGUUUUUUAUUUUCAAGAUGUGAAAUAUU